rnacentral:rRNA from 1 species
AUACGUAGGUGGCGAGCGUUGUCCGGAUUUACUGGGUGUAAAGGGCGCGUAGGCGGGGAUGCAAGUCAGAUGUGAAAUCCAUGGGCUUAACCCAUGAACUGCAUUUGAAACUGUGUCUCUUGAGUGUCGGAGAGGUAGAUGGAAUUCCUAGUGUAGCGGUGAAAUGCGUAUAUAUUAGGAGGAACACCAGUGGCGAAGGCGAUUUACGGGACGAGAACAGACGCAGAGGAGCGAGAGCGGGGGGAAUAAACAGGAAUAGAUACCCUGAUAGCCCGCGCUGUAAACGAUUAAUACUAGGUGUGGUGGGACUGACCCCCUCCGUGCCGCAGUUAACACAAUAAGUAUUCCACCUGGGGAGUACGGCCGCAAGGUUGAAACUCAAAGGAAUUGACGGGG